UCAUUGACUCUGGUCAAUUGUUAGUUUCCCAUCUACUAAUUUCAUUGCUUGCUUCCAGUGUUCCUGGAACUUUUUGCCUAAAUUUUGAAGUUCUUGUAGCUAUGCAGCUGCAUCUGAGCUCUGUUUAUUACUCAGUUUCUACUCUCUUUUUCCCUUUUUUUUUUGAGUUUUAUAUUACCAAAUAUGCUCAUUAAUUAUUUUAUCCCUUGAAAUAAUCCUAAUAUUCCAAAGCAUGACUAUAUAAUCUUUUUUUAAUAGCAUAUUCCAAAAUCUGUAACAUUGGAAGAAGAGCAGUGUAACAGUUUUGACCACCAAGUUCGAUCUAUUGGGCAACAUGUGAACUCUCCAUAUAUUGCAAAACAUGAAGAAAAAAAGCAAGAUAAAAUAUUUACAUGUGGAGCAGAAGACUGUAUCAAACAGAUUUCUGUUCUAUCGACUGAAACUGCAGCAGAUCAGAUGAAUACUGAGUUAUUUGUUUCAGAAAAAAUGCAACACUCAAGUGAGUCAAAUAAAAUGGAAACAGUACCUGUCAGAAAUAUAUUUUCAAAAGAAAAUCAAUCAAGUGUAGAGCGACUCUCUAGCAAUACCUUGAAUGUGGAUCUGGAUAAUGCAUCUUCUGUAGAAGACUAUGAAAAUAAUUCAAAAGCACAUAAUAGUCCAUUUCCAAUCCAUGGAUAUGUGACGAGAAGAAAGAAACAAGACAUGCUCUGCAAAUCAAUUAUGCCAACUGAUUUUGACACAAAAACAGAUCAGAAAAUCACAUUGCAUUGUAGAACAGAUAUAGUCAGCACAACCAGUGAGAUAUGUAAUGAAAUAGCCCCAAAUGGUGUUCCACCUAUUCAAUCAUGUUUCCAGCCUAGCAAUGAGACUGCUCAAACAGGCAAAGUAACUUUUUCAAAUGAUCAAACAUCAGAAGAAACAGUAUAUGAUACUGAUAUGGAAUUGACUGCUAGUGAACUGGGUGAAAUACUCAUCAUCAAAUCAAAAGGGAGAGAAAGGAAUACUAAUAUAAUUAAAGACAGUAAAAAGUCAACAGAUUUGAAGGAAAUGAAAUAUUCAAAUACAGAAAAACAGAUUAAAGAUAAUUUUAAAUGUAACAAAAAAGAUGACAAAAAUAUUCAAAAAAAUGGAAAGGUCAACAAGACCAGAAGCACUGCAUAUAAAACAAAUCUACCACCAAAAAAGCAGUUGUCCCAAAGAAAAACAUUUCAAGGUGAAAAAUUUAAGAAUACCAGUCCACAUAAUUUUGGAAAGAAUGUCAGGAACAGUAACAAAACGGACAGACAGAUUCAUCAAGUAAAUCUAGAAAACCAAAAGCAAACUACAAACAUUUUACAAACAGAAAAUGUGAAAGACACCAUUUUUGAAACAGUCAAAAAUUUGGACAACCAGGCUACAGUACAUGACUUUAGUGCAUCUAGCAGUGACGACUUAUUAAAAAGCUGUUCUGCUGAAAGCUUACCUCUGAAAGAGAGAGAGAUCUCUGAAGUAAUAGUCACAAAACAGCAUUCAUAUGCAAAGACAGAGAGUGAAAAGACCAAUGCAAAGAAUAGAUACAAUAAAGAAAUCAUUUGUAACUACAAUAUAACAGAGAAAUCUACUUAUGUGGUAGAUGUUCCAAAGGCAGAUCAAAGUAAUACGGAGAGAUGUCACAAAGAGUUGUCACGAAGUGAUAAAAGGAGAAUAUUUGCAAAAGCUAGCCGGAAGACACAUAUUAUAUACCCAAACUCUCAUCAUCAGAAAAAAACGUUUGUGAGAAAAGAAUUACAAGAUGAAAACAUUCCACCAACUGAUAGCCACAUGACAACUGAAAACAAGCGAAGAACUUUUAAUGAUCAGAAUGUUCGAGCUUCGUGCCCCCAACAGGAAAUUGAAUUUUGUGAUGAAAUAUUCCCUCCAAAGAUUCAUUAUAUAUCCAAGCCAAACAGAAAGACCUAUGUUGUUUCUUCAUGUCAUCAAAAUAAAAACAUAGAAAAUAUUUCUAAAAGUACUGAAGCAACCACUGAAUUCUGUAAAGUUCCAAAACACAUUUCUAUUCUGAAAAGCCCUGAAGUUUUACAAAGAUAUCAUGAAAAAAAGAUAUGUGCUUCUAUACAGAAGGGAGACAUCAUUUGUGAAGAGUCUCACAACAAGACACCAGUAUCACACUUUGGGAAUAAACCUCUUCAAGAACUUACAAACAUCAGUAUACAUUGUCUUCCAAAUCCCAAGAAAGAUUUAGAAGAAAACUCCACACCACCUAUUAGACGCAGGCGAACAACAAUUUGCUACAAAGAACCCAAUAUCAAGAGCAAACUGAGGAGAGGAGAUGAAUUCACAGAUAAAGGUUUUCUGAAUUCUCCAGUUUUUAAAAUAAAAAAUAAGCAAAGUUUUAAAAGUAAAUCAAGAUUAAUGUAAGAAGAGCACACUGAAAUCCAACCAACUGUAUAAAUACCUGCUUCUUAAACACAUUAUAUAGUUUCUUCCUUAUUCUGCACAAUUUUACUAUUUAAAAAAUGGAGAAGGUUAGCAAAACUAAGAUUACAGAGACAAAUAAAAUUAUUAGGAACCUUUAUCA
rnacentral:lncRNA from 1 species